AACGCGAAGAACCUUACCAAGGCUUGACAUCCUGCGAAGGUCUUUGAAAAGAGACUGUGCCUUCGGGAACGCAGUGACAGGUGCUGCAUGGCCGUCGUCAGCUCGUGUCGUGAGAUGUUUGGUUAAGUCCAUUAACGAGCGCAACCCUUUUAGUUAGUUGCUUUUUCUAGCUAGACUGCCCUGGUAACAGGGAGGAAGGAGGGGAUGAUGUCAGGUCAGUAUUGCCCUUACGCCUUGGGCCACAAACACGCUACAAUGGCCGGUACAAAGGGCUGCCAAGUCGCGAGACGGAGCAAAUCCCAUCAAAGCCGGUCUAAGUUCGGAUUGUAGGCUGAAACCCGCCUACAUGAAGCUGGAAUCGCUAGUAACGGUAGGUCAGCAUUACUACCGUGAAUACGUUCCCGGGCCUUGUACACACCGAGUAUA
rnacentral:rRNA from 1 species